rnacentral:lncRNA from 1 species
GCCAGCCUCUGUGCCUCUCCCCGUGCCCCAGGGUGGUGUUUCAGGAAGAUUUCUAGCAGGGUGAAGGUCAGUAAGUGGUGCUGGGUUUCUACAAAGAACAGUUUCUCCCACUGCCCCCCUUCUCCGGGCUUCCUCCCUGCUCUCCUUAAACCAACCUUUGCUCAGGACCUCUCCCGAGUGCUUCCCCCUGGCAGCCAUUCCCCUGAAGCCCUCAUUUCCUCCUGCCUCUGCCCUUUUCCAGGCAGAAGCAGUCUGCGUGUGAGCAGCCCUGCUGGAGUUAGCCACCAGAGGAGACAGCUUGUUCAUCGCUUCAGGGGCAGCACAGGCAGCGGGCAGAGGGGAGCCCCCAGAGAUGGACCCAGCCCCACCUCAGCCCCCCAGAGGACCCUGCCAAAGCCACCCCCCCGCUGCGGCCUAGUGCUCUGCUGCAGUCCCAGUGUCCUGCUGCUCACCUGGCAGUUGACAUUAGUUGCAGUGCCCACGGACAACAAAAAACAAAUUCUCCAGGCAAGCCAACAGGAAGGAAGAGUAAUAAAAUCAGGGCAUGCUGCUGUCUUCCACCUAAGUUCUAAGAAACUGAGUAGUAAGAGCCAAGAGUUUUUUAAAAAUUAUACUAUUCCUUAUUUCUCAAUGAGGAAAGAGUAUGACUUGGCAAACUGUCCCUGCCUCUAACCCUGUGAAGUGCUUCAGCUUUUGUUAUUACUGCAAACCUCAUCCUUGAAAGAGACCUAAGUAAGUUUAGACAGCCCAUUAACUGCCCAUUAUUGGUGUAUGCACUCCAUCAAGAUUAGCAUUGCAAAUGACUAGCAAGGGGAUAAACUCAUCUUGAACACAAUUUGCUGCAAACUGUUGUUCUGGAUUCUGCAGUCCUGUGGAAGGCCAGGGGUAAAGGAGGGAGCUGCAGGCACAGACCGUGCAUAUCAGCAUCAGUCCCAGAAAUACAGUCAUGGGCUAGGAUGUUAUAAACUGAAUCCAGCAGACAUCAAGGGGUUCAAUCCCCCUUCUUAUGGCUAUCUGACAUGUCAUCAUGCAGAGUAAGAUCCAGUUCCAGAUCAGAGUGUCUGUGUCUAGAUGUCCACCUGUAGGCUUCUUCUGGCACCUAUCUUACCUCUGUAGGGUCAGCUUCUCAGGGAGGACUCCGUUCUGAAAAUGUGUCUGGGAGCCUGAAUCAGGACUCAUCAAAAAUGCAGAGACUCAAUGCCUAACUUUGUGAAGUUAGUUGCAUUACCUCUGCAGGAUUGUGUAUCUGACUUGCUUUAAUGAAAUGUCUGUAUCAUAUUUAACAAAGCUCUCGAUUUCCA